rnacentral:lncRNA from 1 species
CAUAACAUAUAUUUACAUGAUGAUCCCACAUUACAUAAAGUGUCUAUACAUGCCAUAAAAUUUCGGAACACUAGUAGUAAAAUACCCCAAAUGUGAAGGAUAGUGUAGAUGAUUGUCUGACUUUGUUCCAAUUUCCGAGUUGUUGGAAGUCACUAUAACCAAGAGAAAAAUAAAAUCGAGUAAGCAUAUAGCUUAGUAAGUAAACACAUAAUAAAUAAGUAAUUACUCCCAUAACUACACCAAAAUAUAAACUUAUUCAUGAAUAACUUUAUUGUUUAGGCAAUUUCCAGCAAGCUGUUUUUCUGCGUCAUAGUCGCUAAUUUAUUUUUAUCUGGAGCUACAGGGCUCCAAAUUGAGUUCCGUAAAUUUUCCCUGAAACUAGACUCAUAUACCAUUUCACCAUAAAAAUUUCAGAAUUUUUAACCCAGCAAAUUGGUACAGUUUAUUCAUUAAACCUUCCCAUGUUUUACUGCCCAACGGUUCUGACCCUUCCUCACUAAAAUUUACUUAACUCUCUGUACAAAAUUUGAAAAAUGGUUUCGCUUGUUUCUAAUAAAAAUAGACUCAAUAAGGAUUCCAGGGAUAUAAAUUUCAUGCCAUAAUUAUUUUUUUACAAUUUUUGGUAAUUUUCCAAAGUUAGAACAGGGGAUCUCGAAGUCAAUCCAGCCCUGUUUCAGUAAAAUUCAGAUAUCUCCAAAAAUACAACUCCUUUGCUUAUUCUAUUUCUUUCAUAUGAGAAUAGAUACAUUCAACUUCAAUUUCAUAUAUUAUUCAGCUUCCCAUUCAUUUUCCACCAUUUAUGGUGAUUUUUUCAAAGUUACCCAAUUGCUGUUGUUCAACACAGUUUAUAAUUAAAUCGUUCCUUUUGCGUUUUUGAUAUUUUCUCCCAUCUCAUACAUGGGUCGAUUUAGUAUUCAACUCAAUAUUUACCCCAUAAAAUUUUCCACCAUAUGGCAAUAUUCAUCUUUCACACUUUUUCGUUGAACACUCGGAAUGUUAGCCGUUAUUGGUGGAUCCCGCACUUAGCACCACCACUGAAUCGGGGAAUCAGCACUUAGCAACCCCUCGGGGGAAUCAGCACAUAGCAACCCCCUUUUUAUUUCAAAGAUAUGGUGGAUAUCGCACUUAGCACCACCAAUGAAUCGGGGAAUCAGCACUUAGCAACCCCUCGGGGGAAUCAGCACAUAGCAACCCCCCUUUUCAUUUCAAAGAUAUGGUGGAUAUCGCACUUAGCACCACCAAUGAAAUCGAGGAAUCAGCACUUAGCAACCCCUCGGGGGAAUCAGCACAUAGCAACCCCCUUUCACAUUUCAAAGAUAUGGUGGAUCACGCACAUAGCACCACCCAUAAAUCGGGGAAUCAGCACACAGCAACCCCUUUUAUAUACAACAUACUACGGCUUAUUCCGAGUGUUCAACCCAUAACCCAUAUAUUGCAACCCUUUAUCACCUUUCCCGAUUUAACAACAUUUUUAGGAUAUUGCCAAACAUUUAUUUUAAUUCCAAAUAAAUCUCAACAUAUAUCAAAUAAUAUCAAAAUAAUACAUUAAGUCACGUGUUUACUUACCUCGGUGCAAAAUAUCGUAAUUUUGCACUUUACUCCACUAUCUUUCCUUUUCCCCGUUUGAUAUACUCUUCACGUCUUUCUUGAUCUAUAAUAGCAAAUUUAACUCGUUUAAUAUUCACAUUUAUUAAAAUAAUCCACCACCCAACUUUUUGAAAAUUACAAUUUUGCCCCCAAACUUUUGCAUAAUUACACUUUUGUCCCCAAGCUCGGAAAUUAAACUUCAUCACUUAUUCUUAAGUUUUAUAACAUGCUGAACAUUUUUCCCUUCUAUGGAAACAUCAAAUUCCCACUCCAACACAUACUUUUGAAUAUUAAUUAUUUUUACCGAUUAUGUCUAUUUACCCGUUUUCGCUUAAAAUUGCUUAGCAAAAGUUGUUUAACAAAAUCUGUAGCUUCAUAUUCCACCAUAAAACAGCAAAAUAAACACAUUUCACCUAUGGAUAUUUUUCCAAAUAUGAACCCUAACACGAAUUAAUGGUAGAAUAAGCUAAACCAAGUUACCGGGACUCCAAAAAUACGAAGAACAUUAAAAACGGGGCUUAGAAUCACUUACUAUGGAGCUUGAAAGCUUAAAAACCCUAAAUAUGGCUUCCCCCUU